rnacentral:rRNA from 1 species
GGGCGCAGCCUGAUCCAGCCAUGCCGCGUGCGGGAAGAAGGCCUUCGGGUUGUAAACCGCUUUUGUCAGGGAAGAAACGCUCUGGGCUAAUACCCCAGAGUAAUGACGGUACCUGAAGAAUAAGCACCGGCUAACUACGUGCCAGCAGCCGCGGUAAUACGUAGGGUGCAAGCGUUAAUCGGAAUUACUGGGCGUAAAGCGUGCGCAGGCGGUAAUGCAAGACAGAUGUGAAAUCCCCGGGCUUAACCUGGGAACUGCAUUUGUGACUGCAUUGCUGGAGUUUGGCAGAGGGA